rnacentral:rRNA from 1 species
CAUUCGAACGCACAUUGCAGCCAUUAGAUAUCUUUUGGCUUUGUUUGUCUGAGCGUCGUUAUCUAAAUUAAAAUAAAAAAUCUGUAUCGUAAAUUGUCGUAUUUUCGUCAGAUUUAUCAUUUAACAUUAAUGCUGACUUGUAAAGCGUUGUUUAAUGAUUUUAACACGUUUAACAAGAAUUUUGGCGUUUCCAGCUAAAAUUCUUGAGUGUUUUAUUUCAAUAACAUUCGCAAUAAAAUCACAAUCAGUAUAAUUAUUAAUGUUAACUUACCAUGAUAAUGAUUUUUCAUUAACCAAGUCUUUUGUCGACCUCAGAUCAAGCGAGAUUACCCGCUGAAAUCCAU